rnacentral:rRNA from 1 species
UACAGAGGGUGCGAGCGUUAAUCGGAAUUACUGGGCGUAAAGCGCGCGUAGGCGGCUUUGCAAGUCGGGUGUGAAAUCCCCAGGCUUAACCUGGGAACUGCAUUCGAGACUGCAUUGCUAGAGUAUGGGAGAGGGAAGUGGAAUUUCAGGUGUAGCGGUGAAGUGCGUAGAUAUCUGAAGGAACAUCAGUGGCGAAAGCGACUUCCUGGACCAAUACUGACGCUCAUGUGCGAAAGCGUGGGGAGCAAACAGG